rnacentral:rRNA from 1 species
ACCUACGGGGCGCAGCAGUAGGGAAUCUUCCACAAUGGACGAAAGUCUGAUGGAGCAACGCCGCGUGAGUGAAGAAGGGUUUCGGCUCGUAAAGCUCUGUUGGUAGUGAAGAAAGAUAGAGGUAGUAACUUGCCUUUAUUUGACGGUAAUUACUUAGAACGUCACGGCUAACUACGUGCCAGCAGCCGCGGUUAUACGUAGGUGGCAAGCGUUGUCCGGGUUUAUUGGGCGUGAAGCGAGUGGAGGCGGCUCCAUAAG